UUGAGCCGGAUACUGGGAAACUGGAACGUCCAGUUCUUAGGGGGCUAGGGGUCAGUAAUGCCCCCUGCUACCCGAC
rfam:Thermosynechococcus elongatus BP-1 DNA, complete genome.